GACGAACUGUGCAAACGUUAUUCGGAAUCACUGGGCUUAAAGGGUGCGUAGGCGGUCUGUUAAGUAGGGUGUGAAAGCCUCUGGCCUAACCAGAGAAUUGCGCCCUAAACUGUCAGGCUUGAGUGAGGUAGGGGUGUGUGGAACUUCCAGUGGAGCGGUGAAAUGUGUUGAUAUUGGAAGGAACGCCGGUGGCGAAAGCGACACACUGGACCUUGUCUGACGCUGAGGCACGAAAGCCAGGGGAGCAAACGGG
rnacentral:rRNA from 1 species